UGCAUAUGCUAUUGGCUAUUGCCACUAAGCCAAACUGUUUUACUGAGUGAAGUCUGAAGUAGUAUUGGCUUAGACAAGGUCAGUAGCAUGUGCGGUUUCCAUCCAAGUCUAACACACAAAAUUGUGCUAAAAUGCCCGAUUUUGGCUCGCAAUCUGUUGUUUUCCAAUCUAUUGUAUGAUAUACGAAUGAACAGGUGUUCCUAUGUUUCCAUACUCCCAC
rnacentral:lncRNA from 1 species